GUUGCCAGUGUGUAAUCCUGAUCAGAAUGAAUAAAUGAAUGAUGAUGAUUCUCUACAAAAAAAAUUGAGGCAGAGAUGAGAACAGAGUUGGUAAUAAAGGACACACCUCCAUGGGGCUCUCGUUGUAAAACUUGUCCCGAACAUACUCAGGUUUCAUCAUGAUGCUUGUUGGGAGAUUUUGUGGUCCAUUUCCGAAAGAAUCAAGGUACCAGGUUUGACCAUGGCUGCUGCGACGUAAACCGCCAAGGAAACUUUGGAAGGAAAGAGGCACAUGGCAGC